GACAGAGGCCUCGAGCGUUAGGCGGAAUCACUGGGCUUAAAGCGUGUGUAGGCGGAUGCCUAAGUACCUUGUGAAAUCCCACGGCUCACCCGUGGAACCGCUGGGUAUACUGGGCGUCUUGGGCCAUUCAGGGGGCGACUGGAACAAGCGGUGGAGCGGUGAAAUGCGUAGAUAUCGGGAGGAACACCAGUGGCGAAGGCGACUACCUGGCCUGUUCUUGACGCUGAGGCGCGAAAAGCUAGGGGGAGCAAACGGG
rnacentral:rRNA from 1 species